AAUAGGAUGCCUGAUAAAAGGACUAUCUUGAUAAGAUAAAAUAUGCAUACAACAAUGCUCCUAUUA
rnacentral:tRNA from 1 species